rnacentral:rRNA from 1 species
UACGUAGGUGGCAAGCGUUAUCCGGAAUUAUUGGGCGUAAAGCGCGCGUAGGCGGUUUUUUAAGUCUGAUGUGAAAGCCCACGGCUCAACCGUGGAGGGUCAUUGGAAACUGGAAAACUUGAGUGCAGAAGAGGAAAGUGGAAUUCCAUGUGUAGCGGUGAAAUGCGCAGAGAUAUGGAGGAACACCAGUGGCGCAGGCGACUUUCUGGUCUGUAACUGACGCUGAUGUGCGAAAGCGUGGGGAUCAAACAGGAUUAGAU